rnacentral:lncRNA from 1 species
UCUCGAAUAAAACAUUUCACAAUCGAAGAAGGAUAUGAAACGACAACUCAUCACCUUCUUCCCCGCUAUUCACAAAUUCAUAAAAAGACGUUAUCCGAUUAUCGUACCAUAAAAAGAAAGCCGCGGAGCGGCAGGGAUUCAAAGCCACACACGGCCAGUCCCGAAAUACAAACAAGGCCAUUCAAGGCCGAAACAUGAAAACAUAAAAAAAAUCUCUCGCAAGAGAUCUAACCCAAGUCAUCCUCAGAACUUACGCCCCCUCUU